GGCUACUGCUAUUGGGAUUCGACUAAGCCAUGCGAGUCAAGGUGUCUUCGGACGCCGGCGUACGGCUCAGUAACACGUAGGUAACCUACCCUCAGGACUGAGAUAACCCCGGGAAACUGGGGCUAAUAUUAGAUAGAUAAAAGAUACUGGAAUGUUCUUUUAUCCAAAGCUUUUGCGCCUGAGGAUGGGCCUGCGUCCGAUUAGGUUGUUGGUGGGGUAAUGGCCCACCAAGCCUACGAUCGGUACGGGCAGUGGGAGCUGAAGCCCGGAGUUGGGGACUGAGACAAGGCCCCAGGCCCUACGGGGCGCAGCAGGCGCGAAACCUCUGCAAUGCGGGAAACCGUGACAGGGGGAUCCCAAGUGCUCAUGCAUUGCAUGGGCUGUUCUUUGGUCUAAGUAACCAGAGGAGUAAGGGCUGGGCAAGACCGGUGCCAGCCGCCGCGGUAAUACCGGCAGCUCAAGUGGUAGCCGCGAUUAUUGGGCCUAAAGCGUUCGUAGCCGGAUAAGUAAGUCUUUGGUUAAAUCCUGCGACUUAACCGUGGGAAAUCUAGAGAUACUGCUUGUCUUGAGACCGGGAGAGGUUGGAGGUACUCCCAGGGUAGGGGUGAAAUCCUGUAAUCCUGGGGGGACCACCUGUGGCGAAGGCGUCCAACUGGAACGGGUCUGACGGUGAGGGACGAAACCUAGGGGAGCGAGCCGGAUUAGAUACCCGGGUAGUCCUAGGCGUAAAUGAUGCGAGUUAAGUGUGGGGGCAUCCACGAGAUGGCCCUGUGCUGUAGGGUAGCCGUUAAACUCGCCGCCUGGGGAGUACGGUCGCAAGGCUGAAACUUAA
rnacentral:rRNA from 1 species